rnacentral:rRNA from 1 species
AAUAUUUCACAAUGGGGGAAACCCUGAUGCAGCGACGCCGCGUGAGUUAAGAAGCAGUUCGCUAUGUAAAGCUUCCUCUCCUCUGAAGAUAAUGUCAGUACUUUGUCUAGCCGCACACGCUUACUACCUGCCAUCAGCCGUUGUAAUACGUAGGGGGCAAGCGUUAUCCGGAUUUACUGGGUGUAAAGGGAGCGUAGGUGGUACGGUAAGUCAGAUGUGAAAGCCCGGGGCUCAACCCCGGGACUGCAUUUGAAACUAUCGAACUAGAGUGUAGGAGAGGUAAGUGGAAUUCCUAGUGUAGCGGUGAAAUGCGUAGAUAUUAGGAGGAACACCAGUGGCGAAGGCGGCUUACUGGACUAUAACUGACACUGAGGCUCGAAAGCGUGGGGAGCAAACAGG